GCUGAAGUCCCAGAGGAAGGUCACUCUGUCUCAAGUACUCGCCACUAGGCUGACACGAUUGGAAAUACUGCUUGUAUUACCAAGGCUUUGACUGGAAUGUCUUCUUUGAGAGAGAUGUCUAUAGACCCAGAUGUGGUCAGAGAGCUUUAAGGAACUAAGAUUGACUUUAUGGAGCCAGUGAAGUCCUUUGGAAAUACUGGCCUGAUACCUUGCUUACAGGGUUCCCAGCAGCUUACCAGGUGAGUAAAGAAUGCCACUUCCUGGCAGGUGCAGGAAUCUCAGGAUAUUUCAGGGACCUUGAGAAGAGAGGAAUGAACCCAAAUCUAUAAAUUUUGCAGGUGAAGUCCGAUGGCAAGUAUUUGGCUUGGCUUCUUGGUCUCGAGAUCAGAAGUUUAAUUUGGUGGUUCCUUAUGAGAAGUUGCAGCCUAUAUGAUUAACUGCCAUUCUUGUUGCAAAUAAUAAAGCAUUAUGCAAAUCAUAAAAUUAUGCAAAUAAUAAAGGCCAACUUUGCUGAAAUUAGACUUAUGUUGCAAAUAGAUUGGUCUUACUUUGUUUAUCUUUGCCAGAAAUUGAGGUGAUUAUGGAGGGAAAAAAUGUUUCAGUAGCACACCUUUGGGAUUACUAGAUUCUGAUACUGUUCAUUGUAAACUGGACUAGAUCCCGACUCUACCAGGGGCCUCUAAUGUCUGUUGACAACUCUCCAAACUAAUGCUUUCAAUUUUUGUCUCACCCAUCUGACUUGAAAUCAUCGGGAAAUGAAGCUACUCUUUUACCUGAAGCCCUACCAACGAAAUAUGAAUGACUUAACAUAAAGUUUAGAGAAAUCACCACAACAGCUCAUGUAUGGAUAAUCUUCAUGCCAGAUUGACACGGCCUGCUCUCACUCCGUCUAGAUGUGCUUCAAGAUGAACACUUAAAAGUCAUCUCAACUGGCUGCCUUCAGCACUCAGAAGCUGAAUUGAUAAUUUGCUCCAAUCAUUAACUAAUGUUUUUUUUUCUUUUAUCCCCAUAAAAAUGUCUCUUAUUUAAUACCUGAUUACUUGAACCAUUGGCCUAAUUUUGGGAGCAUACCUGCAUCGCUGUCUUCUGAAAUGAGUUUAACUGAACUGACUUAUUGUCAGGACUAAGAGACUGUUGUCAGUAAGAUGAAAUCAUCUACCAACUUAGCCUCUGGACUAAAAAACUUUUUGGAGAAGUUUCAAAGGAGCAAAAUUCACCGCCCCAAAAUGAGUCUCUUUGGCAUGUGGAUAAUUGUAGGUUAAUUACUUUUAAGAAACCAAAGGUUCAAGAAGAACUUUUGAUCUUACAGUAACUGCCUAAAGGAACUUAGACCAAGGAUCUUCUCCAGAAAGGGAGCUACCACCAUAUCACCAUAGAGGAUUACAGUACGAUGUGAUUUAGGGGUACACAGGGAGGAAGUUACGUUCCAUUGUUUCUGUAUGGUCCAGCAGAUAUUUGUUUACAAAACAUGUACUCUUUUUCAUCUUCUUAUGAAUUGACUUCCUUCCCUUAUGAACUGACCUGGGGCGCCUGGGUGGCUCAGUCAGUUAAGCGUCCGACUUCGGCUCAGGUCAUGAUCUCACAGUCCGUGAGUUCGAGCCCCGUGUCGGGCUCUGUGCCGACAGCUCAGAGCCUGGAGCCUGUUUCUGAUUCUGUGUCUCCUUCUCUCUCGGACCCUCCCCUAUUCAUACUCUGUCUUUCUCUGUGUCAAAAAAAAUAAGUAAACGUUAAAAAAAUUAAAAAAAAAAAAUCAAGUUCCAGGCCCUUACCUCUUUCUCCUUAGCUCUGGAUGGCGUAUAAGACUUAAUUGCCUGACUGACCGGGGGCCUCCUAUCCUGAUGGAGCCCCUGUAUGAAUGCAAUUAAAUUGAUUUUCCCCUGUUAAUCUGUUGCAAGUCAAAUUAAUUCUUAGACUAACCAAAAGAAUAUUGUAGGGUAGAGGAAACGUUUCCGGCCCAAUAUAAGUCCACGUUUAUCUUCAUUAACAUAUAGGUCAAUGAAUAGGAAGAACUGGUUAGAACAAGAAUUCUUAAGGGACAUCUGGUUAUUGGCAAAAGAAUAGACAAAUAGAUCAAUGGAACAGAAUAGAGAGCCCAGAAAUAGACCCAUAAAUACACUCAACCGAUGUUUGACAAAGAAGCAAAAGCCAUCCAAUGGAGAAAAAAAGAGUCUCUUCAACAAAUGGUGCUGGAACAACUAACUGGACACCCACCUACAAAGAAGUGAAUCUAGCCCCCAACCUAAAACCCUUCACACAAAGUAACUCAAAAUGGACCAUUGACCUGAGAGGAGCCAAGAUGGCGGAACAACAUGGAAGUUUUUUUGUGUCUCCUGCCCAUGAAACGGACCAUAUACCUGAAUGUAAAAUGCAAAACUUUAAAACUCCUGGAAGACAACAAAGGAGAAAAAUCUAGAUGACCUUGGAUAUGAUGAUAACUUUUUUACGUGUAACACAGCAGUAUGCUCCAUUAGAGAAAGAAUCGACAAGAUGGAUUUUAUUAAAAUUAGCAACUUCUGCUCUACAGACAAUGUUGUCAAGAGAAUCAGAAGACAAGUCACAGACUGGAAGAGAAUAUUUGCAAAAGUCCUAUCUGAUAAAGAGCAUCCUGUCCAUUCCCUUCAUUCUGCUGAGGUCCAGAGAAGCAAAAUGCCUUGUCCAAGACCACUGAGUGGGAAAGGCUCCUUUCCCAGUGUGGGGCUUGAACUCAGGACCCUGAUAUCAAGAGUCAUAUGCUUCAGACUGAGCCAGCCAGGUGCCCCCCAUUGUGCUCAUUUCUUAUUGCACUUUCUUGAGGCAUUGAUGAAAGUAUUUGCAAGGACCAGAGAACAUUCCAACCAUCAGGCCAGAAAAGCCCUGAUAGCAAGAGAUGCUUAGAAGACCACCCCCAUACACCCCUUUCCUGGUCAAUGAUCAAGAACACAUACUGACCCCCACCCAUGAUCAUGUGCUCUCGGCCUGCUCUCUUGUAUGUACUGCCCCUCCCCCCCCACCUCUCCUUAUGAAAUUCUAGGUGUCCAUCUUGUAGGUGAAGCAGUUGGUUGGGAAGGCUUGAUUGUCUCUCACCUCCCCUGGCUGCUGGCACCAAAACCAAUUUUCCCCUUUCUCUUCCCAAACCUCAUCUGUUGCAUUAUUGUCUUCUUGAGUGAUGAGUUUGGCUGCUUGUUAGGCCACAGUCUUGGCAAACCCAGACAGGAGAGGUGACCUUGAUUUGUCCAGGGCCCUUGGGAUUCAUUCCCCUAGUUGGAGCAGUUGGCCAGGGCAGUGCACCGGGGCUUACUCAUUCAUUUCCUGAGUUAGUGGCUGUGAUAGAUCGUUCAGUAACAAAAGCAUCAGACUGGAACAGUAUUUGCCUCUAAAUGACCAAAAAACUUAAAAAUGCCCAUGGGUAAAGAUCUGAUGAGAGUUCAUUUCACAAGCAAGUGUAGUUAUUUCUGUGGCAAAAAAUAAUUUAGGGUAAUAACUGAACAAUGAGACUACUGACAAAUUUCUAGAACCUUUAAACAAUUUCUGGAAUACCUAAAUCAGUAAAUAGAUCCACAUGCGUAUAACCUAAGAAGGUUUAACAUCACUUCUUAUUUUUCAAUGCUUCCCAUAUAACUUAACAUACCAAAUAAGCCUAAUUAGUUUAAUAUCUCUCCUUCACAGAGGUGAUAAGUCCUUUGAGGUUUCCAGGGACCCUGUAGGAAAUCUGAAAUCACAAAGACUCUAUUUAGAAUGAUUUAGAAAAGUUGUCAAAAUGGCAAAGGGUUUGAACAUUUGACUAAAUAAAAUCGCAGAUCAUUAUGAAAUAAUACAUAAUUACCUAUUUAAUGAAAGUGACAAUAAAAGAUUUUAAAGGCAAAUAUGGAAGGUUACAUAGUUAUGAGCUCUUAAUAAAAUAUUAUUGAGCUUAAUAAAAUAAUAAAAGAGCUGAUACUUAGCUCUUUUAAUAUGAGCUAAAACUUAGCUCUUUUAAUAUUGAGAAGACUGAAUUUUCUUAAGUAAUCAAAGACCUGAAAAAGACAACAUGAAGCACAGGAAAUUAUUUUGGUAAGACACAAAAUCAUUGCUUUCCAGGUAGAUUAGCCAAAAGGUUAAAAAAAAAAAAAACAACUUUCAGGAGCGUGGGUGGCUCAGUGGGUUGAACAUCUGAUCCUUGCUUUCGGCUCAAGUCAUGAUCCUGGGGUUGUGGGAUGGAGCCUUGUCAGAGUCUGUGCUGAGCGUGGAGCCUGCUUAAGAUUCUCUCUCUCUCUCUCUCUCUCUCUCUCUCUCUCUCAAAUAGAAUAACAAAACUAAAAAAAAAAAAAAAUCUUUCACAGCUCUUACCGAGAACAGACCAAUAUGGUUGGACCUAGAGAAUAUCCUAAAUGAAAUAAGUCAAACAAAAAUAUCAGACGAUUUCAAUUAUAAGUGGAAUCUAAAAGGCAAAACAAAUGAACAAACAGUAGAAACAGACCCCAUAAAUAGAGAGCAAACUGCUGGUGGCCGGUGGGGAGGGAGUGGGGGGAAGGGCAAAA